GAUGAACGCUGACAGAAUGCUUAACACAUGCAAGUCGAUGGGGAAGUGGUGCUUGCACCCUGGUAACCAUGGCGGACGGGUGAGUAACGCGUAAGGAACUUGCCUGCGGGACUGGGAUAACAGCAGGAAACUGCUGAUAAUACCGGAUAAGGUCAUUAAGCUGCAUAGCUUAGUGAUGAAAGGAGACGCCUGCGGAGAGCCUUGCGUCCUAUUAGCUAGUUGGAGGGGUAACGGCCCACCAAGGCGAAGAUAGGUAGCCGGCCUGAGAGGGUGGACGGCCACAAGGGGACUGAGAUACGGCCCUUACUCCUACGGGAGGCAGCAGUGGGGAAUAUUGGACAAUGGGGGCAACCCUGAUCCAGCAAUUCUGUGUGCACGAAGACGGUUUUCGGAGUGUAAAGUGCUUUCAGCAGGGAAGAAGGAAGUGACGGUACCUGCAGAAGAAGCGACGGCUAAAUACGUG
rnacentral:rRNA from 1 species